rnacentral:rRNA from 1 species
CCUCAAAUCAGGUAGGACUACCCGCUGAACUUAAGCAUAUCAAUAAGCGGAGGAAAAGAAACUAACAAGGAUUCCCCUAGUAACUGCGAGUGAAGCGGGAAAAGCUCAAAUUUAAAAUCUGGUAGUCUUUGGCUAUCCGAGUUGUAAUCUAGAGAAGCGUUAUCCGUGCUGGACCAUGUAUAAGUCUCCUGGAAUGGAGCGUCAUAGAGGGUGAGAAUCCCGUCUUUGACAUGGACUACCAGGGCAUUGUGAUGCGCUCUCAAAGAGUCGAGUUGUUUGGGAAUGCAGCUCUAAAUGGGAGGUAAAUUCCAUCUAAAGCUAAAUAUUGGCGAGAGACCGAUAGCGAACAAGUACCGUGAGGGAAAGAUGAAAAGAACUUUGGAAAGAGAGUUAAACAGUACGUGAAAUUGUUGAAAGGGAAACGCUUGAAGUCAGUCACAUUGAUUAGGGAUCAGCCUUGCUUUUGCUUGGUGUACUUUCUAGUUAAUGGGUCAGCAUCAAUUUUGACCAGUGGAAAAAAGUCAGAAGAAUGUGGCAUCUUCGGAUGUGUUAUAGCUUUUGAUUGUAUACAUUGGUUGGGAUUGAGGAACUCAGCAUGCCGCAAGGCCGGGUUUUACCACGUUCAUGCUUAGGAUGCUGGCAUAAU